CUUCUUCACAUCCUGGAACCAGCGCGGCGGCCGCGCUGUUCCAGGAUGUGCAGAAACCUUCUCGGGAUGAGUGGGGUAAAACCGUGGAAGCCAUGGAAGCCGCCCUGGCCUGGAGAAGAGCCUGAACCAGGCCAUUGUGGAUCUCCAUGCCUUGGGUUCUGCUCGCACAGACCCCCAUCUCUGUGACUUUCUAGAGAGCCACUUCCUGGAUGAAGAGGUGAAGCUCAUCAAGAAGAUGGGCGACCACUUAACCAACCUCCGCAGGCUGGGGGCGGCCCCUCAGGCCCAGCUGGGCGAGGAUCUUUCCGAACGCCUCACCCUCAAACAC